CAACAACAGCUAACAUGACAGGCUGUUCUCAACACUUGCCUGUCAACUGAUGGGGUGUCCCCAAAGCUUUGCUGGGACACAGAUCAGCAAAACUUAAGACUGACUAUCCCAAGUGUUGAAGAAGACACAGAUCAAUGGAAACUCUUGAGCACAGCUGGGAGAGUGUAAACUGUGGAGCAUACACCGGCAUCUUUUAAGUUGACACAUUUCACAUCUUGGGACUCAGCCGUUUCAUUUCCAAAAGUCUAUAGGGUCCCCUAGCCUUUCCCUAAACCCUUCAGAAUUCGCAGUCAAGAGAUCCGAGAAUGGGAUGUACGAUUUCUGCAUUGGGAAGAGUGAACCAGUCCAUGUGACCCCAUCUCCGCCAACAACAAUACCGACUCAGUCUGCCAUAUAAGAGACCCACCUUGGAAGCUCAGCCUUCAGGUGACUGUCACCCCAGCCAGUGUCCCAUCUGAGACCUCACCAGAACACGUGCGACCCUAAGUCAUAAACACCACCCAAACCACCCCAGAAUUCCUGCUUCAUAGAAACUGUGAGGGAAUAGAUAUUUGUUUAUAUUUUAAGCUAUUAAAUUUCAGGGUAUAUUGCCACAGCAACAGAAAACAAGUGCAUAUUUUCACACUUAAAAGUGAGUUUCUGGCAUACAAAGAGUUCCUCAAAAUGUGGGUGAACUUCGAGCAUACGUUGAGAGGACCUUGAGGAAAGUGUUAAUGAGAGUCGAAGGCCUUGAGGAGAAGCCCAGCGUUGGUUAGCUUUGCACCCAGAGGCCAAGUGCAUCUCAGAGUAGAACUUCCCAACUUCAAAGUAAAUGAGCGCAAGUAUGCUGGAUAUUUCCCUCAGGCCCCCUGAUGCCCCCCAGCUAUUGGAUUUGGAGUUGGGCAGUGCCGUCCUUCAUGCCACUGUGCCAUGUAAAUAGAAUUUUCUGAAGGAAAAGGCUGGGAAGCACAGUCCAAGGUCAUCGUGUAGCAUGUAGCCAAUGUCUCACCAUGGCCUUGCCUGCCUGGUGCAUUCCAGACGGGACCAGCUUAGGGCACUGUGCACAGAAUGGAGGCUCUGCUCGCCCUCCUUCAGGUGGGGUCUCAGAGCCUUUGCUGCAGACAGGAAUGAGGCCCCUUAUAUCUUUUGGGAUGUCUGGCAUGAGCUCGGGUCCCACUAGGGUAGGUACCGUCAGU